ACGGCUGCUACUCUUGGCUCCUUACUCCAUUGUCCCAACCUGAUUCUCCUGCUGAACACAGUUACAAUCAUGCACAUAAGGCUACGCGGAAUGUGAUAGAAAGAUGUUUUGGUGUGCUGAAGUCACGGUUUCGGUGUCUGGAUAAAUCUGCCGGCCUUUUGUUGUAUAGUCCCUCAAAGGUGACUAGAAUUGUGUUCUGCUGCUGUUUUCUCCAUAAUCUGUGUUUAAGUCAACAUCUGGCACAUGAUGAGGGAGAAAGCAGUCAGCAAGCAGAGGAGUUAGAACCAUCUGGUGACAGUGUGAGUACAAAUGUAGGGAGGCAGGUACGGCAAGAAGUGAUCCUGCGAUAUUUUUCAGAUAACUGAGGUGAUCGGGGCUCAUCACUCUGAGAACUCGCCAAUAGUGCCAGUGGUGGCUGGGGUGACACUGCCGAAAGUCGUCGCCUGGGUGGGGAUGAUGGAGCCGCAGAUUCCGAGGCAAGACGCCGUGUCGAACUUGGCCUCCUGGAAUAUGUGACUACAGUGAAGACUUACCUGCAAUCCCAGCCUCAUCCUGACU